UACGUAGGUGACAAGCGUUGUCCGGAUUUACUGGGCGUAAAGAGCGCGCAGGCGGUCGUUCAAGUCGAGUGUGAAAGCCCCCGGCUCAACUGGGGAGGGUCACUCGAUACUGAUCGACUCGAAGGCAGGAGAGGGGAAGUGGAAUUCCCGGUGUAGUGGUGAAAUGCGUAGAUAUCGGGAGGAACACCAGUGGCGAAGGCGGCUCACUGGGACCGGAAC
rnacentral:rRNA from 1 species